rnacentral:rRNA from 1 species
UACAGAGGGGGCAAGCGUUGUUCGGAAUUACUGGGCGUAAAGGGCGCGUAGGCGGCCUGCUAAGUCGAACGUGAAAUCCCUGGGCUCAACCCAGGAACUGCGUCCGAUACUGGUUGGCUUGAAUCCGGGAGAGGGACGUGGAAUUCCAGGUGUAGCGGUGUAAUGCGUAGAUAUCUGGAGGAACACCGGUGGCGAAGGCGACGUCCUGGACCGGCAUUGACGCUGAGGCGCGAAAGCCAGGGGAGCAAACGGG